CACGUAGGGUGCGAGCGUUGUCCGGAAUUAUUGGGCGUAAAGAGCUCGUAGGCGGUGUGUCGCGUCGGCCGUGAAAACCUGCAGCUUAACUGUGGGCUUGCGGUCGAUACGGGCAUCACUGGAGUUCGGCAGGGGAGACUGGGAAUUCCUGGUGUAGCGGUGAAAUGCGCAGAUAUCAGGAGGAACACCGGUGGCGAAGGCGG
rnacentral:rRNA from 1 species